GGUAGGGAAUGGUGUCGCCUAGCAGCCGCCGCCGCCGCUUUUACUGGCUCGCGACUUGGCGGGACGCAGAGUCUGCGUGGAGCGGCGCCGGGCGGCGGUCGGGACUGCAGGCGGGCGCGGCGUGCUGGUGGCGGUGGAUGUGGGACUGCCGCUGGUUGCCAGGCGUGGUCUAGAAGGUGGAGCACAGUAAAAGGAGUCAAGAUGCCACCUAGCAUAAACUUUAAAGAACUAAUCAAAAUUGACCCAGAUGAACUACCUCGGCAGGAAGAACUGGCAGAUAAUUUAUUGAUUUCCUUAUCCAAGGUGGAAGUAAAUGACCUAAAAAAUGAAAAUCAAGAAAAUAUGAUACAUCUUUUCAGGAUUACUCAAUCGUUAAUGAAGAUGAAAGCUCAAGAAGUAGAGCUAGCUUUGGAAGAAGUUGAAAAAGCAGGAGAAGAACAAGCAAAAUUUGAAAAUCAACUAAAAUCGAAAGUAAUGAAACUAGAAAAUGAACUAGAGAUGGCUCAGCAGUCUGCAGGUGGAAGGGACACUCGGUUUUUACGUGAUGAAAUUCGCCAGCUUGAAAAGCAGUUGGAACAAAAAGACAGAGAAUUGGAGGACAUAGAAAAGGAAUUGGAUAAAGAGAAGAAAGUUAAUGAACAAUUGGCUCUUCGAAAUGAGGAAGCAGAAAAUGAAAACAGCAAAUUAAGAAGAGAGAAUGAACAGCUUCGUCAGGAUAUUAUUGACUACCAGAAACAAAUCGAUUCUCACAAAGAGUCGCUUCUGUCAAGGAGAGGAGAAGAUAGUGACUAUCGAUCACAGUUGUCUAAAAAGAACUAUGAGCUUGUUCAGUAUCUGGAUGAAAUUCAGACUUUAACAGAAGCUAAUGAGAAAAUUGAAGUUCAGAACCAAGAAAUGAGAAAAAAUCUGGAAGAGUCUGUACAGGAAAUGGAGAAGAUGACUGAUGAAUAUAAUAGAAUGAAAGCUAUUGUGCAUCAAACAGAUAAUAUGAUGGACCAAUUAAAAAAAGAAAAUGAUCACUAUCGACUUCAAGUACAGGAGCUUACAGAUCUUCUGAAAGCGAAAAAUGAAGAAGAUGAUCCAAUCAUGGUAGCUGUCAAUGCCAAAGUAGAAGAGUGGAAGGUGCUUUCCUCAGUGGAUAUGAUAUCUUUUUAAUUUUAUACUUUAGAUUUAAAUUUU
rnacentral:lncRNA from 1 species